rnacentral:piRNA from 1 species
UGAAAAACAGCUCGCGCUGCAGCAAG